AGAAAGGUCAAUUUCCCUUUCCAAACACGCAUCAAAAACGGUCUAAAUAUUUUCCCCCAAAUCUCGCAAUUACCUCAAAAAAACCCAAUCUCACUUCUCUCUUGCUCUCUGCAAAAACGAAAUGCUCUCAUCCUUCUGGCGUAAUCAAAAUACCAAAAUCAAUUAACCAAGAAAACCACAUCAUAGAUCGAUCUCCUCACCACACAUACAUCACAAUCUGUGUCCCCAAUUUCAAAGGAAGAUUUUUUACCAUACCACGAUAUUGAUAAUCGAGAUUUCAUCCAAGAAAUUAUUGGAGAUGGAGUAAACAAGAUUUCUUCCUGGCCAAGAAGCACCCUAUCAUGCAGGCCCAGCAAUUGUCUUAUCAUACGUUGCUUCUGGCAUUUCUGCAAUUCUCUCUGUUUUCUGCUAUACCGAAUUUGCAAUAGAAAUUCCAGUGGCUGGAGGAUCAUUUGCUUACCGAUGAAAGCUAUCGUUAGCCUACAAGGAGGGUGUUAACAGAGGGGAAUCUUCAAAAUCUGUCGAGAUAGUGGAGACGAAAAUGGAAAAUGCACGUACACCUUCGUGUCCAAUAACACGAUCUAUUACCAUUCUAUCAGACUCAACGACUCCCCAACUGCCAAGGAAGUGUUGAAGACCACCUCGGAUAAUUCCAUCCUUGUUCUUUCUUUGACAAGAAUUACUUGUAAUGCCAAAUGAUUAUAUUUGUGUGUUAAAUGUGACUGCCCAAUUUAUUUAGUCACCUUAAUUUUUGAAAUGUUACACUGAAAUUAACAUUGAAGGUGGUAGAAUUUUACUAAUUAUUUAUGCUGUAAUGUACUCAGUGGAAAGUCUGGUGACGUUAUUUUUUUGUUGGAUAGUUCACAUUUUGAUAAUCUUGAUCUUACAAGUAGCUAUUGGAUGAAUUAAACGCACCAGGAACAUUGCAAUGUAUUUUUGAUAGCUUAACUGUUAUGAUGUUAAUGAAUUUAUGUUAAGUCAAUUACUAUUGGUACAUCAUUUGCAGGCUAUGCAAUUCAAAUUUUAAUUAG
rnacentral:lncRNA from 1 species